CAGCCGUAAACUAUGCGCGUUAGGUGUAUCGGUGACCACGAGUUACCGAGGUGCCGAAGGGAAACCGUGAAACGUGCCGCCUGGGAAGUACGGUCGCAAGGCUGAAACUUAAAGGAAUUGGCGGGGGAGCACCACAACAGGUGGAGCCUGCGGUUUAAUUGGACUCAACGCCGGACAACUCACCGGGAACGACAGCAAUAUGUAGGCCAGGCUGAAGACCUUGCCUGAAUCGCUGAGAGGAGGUGCAUGGCGUAGACGUCU
rnacentral:rRNA from 1 species